UACGUAAGUCCCAAGCGUUACCCGGAAUUAUUGGGUGUAAAGCGUUUGCAGGCUGUUUUGUAAGUUGGGUAUGAAAGACCGGGGCUCAACUCCGAGUUUGUGCUCAAAACUGUAAAACUAGAAUCGGGGAGAGGUAAGCGGAAUUCUUAGUGUAGGGGUGCAGUCCGUAGAUACUAAGAAGAACACCAAAAGCGAAGGCAGCUUACUGGAACUGUAUUGACGCUCAGAAACGAAAGCGUGGGUAGCGAAAAGGAUUAGAUACCCUUGUAGUCCACGCCCUAAACGAUGAUAACUAAGUGUUUCCGCUUGACGGAAGUGCUGAAGCUAACGCGAUAAGUUAUCCACCUGAGGAGUACGGUCGCAAGAUUAAAACUCAAAGGAAUAGACGGGGACCCACACAAGCAGUGGAUCACGUGGUUUAAUUCGACAAUAAACGGGGAAUCUUACCCAGACUUGACAUCCAGCGAAUCUUGCAGAGAUGCGAGAGUGCCUUUAUUGGAGCGCUGAGACAGGUGCUGCAUGGUUGUCGUCAGCUUGUGCCUUGAGGUGUUCGGUUAAGUCCGUUAACGAGCGCAACCCAUGUUCUUAGUUAUUAUGUCUAAGAAGACUGCCUUGGUUAACAAGGAGGAAGGUGUGGAUGACGUCAAAUCAGCAUGGCUUUUACGUCUGGGGCUACACACAUGAUACAAUGGUCUGUACAAAGAGUAGCAAUAUGGUAACAUUGAGCUAAUCUUUAAAGCAGAUCUCAGUCCGGAUUGAGGUCUGAAACUCGACCCCAUGAAGUUGGAAUUGCUAGUAAUCGUGAAUCAGACAUGUCACGGUGAAUAUGUUCCUGGGUCU
rnacentral:rRNA from 1 species